ensembl:lncRNA
GCCAAGACGAAUGAUCUGUCCGUUCUUGCAGCGAAAAGCCAGAAUCAGCGUCCUCUGUAACUCGAGAGAUCGAUGCAAUGUCUUUUUCUGGCCUAAGACAAAAAAAUAUCUCACCAGCACUCAUUUUAUUCUCUAUAAUAUAUUCUUCUAAUUGUUUUGUACUGAUUCGCUGGAGUGUUUUAAUGUAAAAGGCUGUAGUUUCAGUAUGUAGACCUUUUUCCCCAUGCCAGUGUUGAAGUCUCGAGCCGUCAGAGAGUCUGCUGCAAAUCAUUCAAUUUCACCAUUUACCAGCUCACAAAAAUCUGAAUUUAGCCGAUGGUGUGUUCUAAUGGGUGGAUUGUGUGCAAUCGCUGUAAUAUUUUAUUUUUAAAAGGUCUUAAACAGGAAUAAAGUCGUUUGUUGUGAGGUCGUUGUGAAGCCCCGCGGUCUCGCGUUGUCAAAAUAGAUGACGCAAAUCCUUCAUUUUCCACACUUCAACAGCUGAAAAACACCAACUUUUAGCUCUUGGUUUCUUCUAAUGGGUGGAUUGUGUGCAAUCGCUGUAAUAUUUUAUUUUUAAAAGGUCUUAAACAGGAAUGAACUCGUUUGUUGUGAGGUCGUUGUGAAGCCCCGCGGUCUCGCGUUGUCAAAAGAGCUGACGCAAAUCGUUCAUUUUCAAACUUCAGCAGCUGAAAAACACCUACUUUUAGCUCUUGGUUUGUUCUAAUGGGUGGAUUGUGUGCAAUCGCUGUAAUAUUUUAUUUUUAUAAGGUCUUAAACAAGAAUAAAUUUGUUUCUUGUGAGCUCGUAGUGCGAGUGCAGGAGAAGCCGCGCCGUCUCGCGCUGUCAAAAGAGCUGACGCAAAUCGUUCAUUUUCAAACUUCAACAGCUGAAAAACACCCACUUUUAGCCCUUGGUUUGUUCUAAUGGGUGGAUUGUGUGCAAUCGCUGUAAUAUUUUAUUUUUAUAAGGUCUUAAACAAGAAUAAAUUCGUUUCUUGCGAGCUCGUUGUGUCACUGCACGAGAAGCCGCGCCGUCUCGCGCUGUCAAAAAGAGCUGACGCAAAUCCUUCAUUUUCCACACUUCAACAGCUGAAAAACACCCACUUUUAGCUCUUGGUUUGUUCUAAUGGGUGGAUUGUGUGCAAUCGCUGUAAUAUUUUAUUUUUAAAAGGUCUUAAACAGGAAUAAAUUCGUUUGUUGUGAGCUCGCUGUGCGACUGCACGAGAAGCCGCGCCGUCUCGCGCUGUCAAAAGAGCUGACGCAAAUCCUUCAUUUUCCACACUUCAACAGCUGAAAAACACCCACUUUUAGCUCUUGGUUUGUUCUAAUGGGUUGAUUGUGUGCAAUCGCUGUAAUAUUUUAUUUUUAAAAGGUCUUAAACAAGAAUAAAUUCGUUUCUUGCGAGCUCGUUGUGUCACUGCACGAGAAGCCGCGCCGUCUCGCGCUGUCAAAAGAGCUGAUGCAAAUCGUUCAUUUUCAAACUUCAAGAGCUCAAAAACACCCUCUUUUAGCUCUUGGUUUGUUCUAAUGGGUGGAUUGUGUGCAAUCGCUGUAAUAUUUUAUUUUUAAAAGGUCUUAAACAAGAAUAAAUUUGUUUCUUGCGAGCUCGUUGUGUCAUUGCAC